rnacentral:lncRNA from 1 species
GGAUAGGGUUAGGGUUUGUAAUCGCAGAAAGAGAAAUCCGAAGAUGGGCGUGGUUACGCGAUCCGAGACUCUUCGUCCAGUGACAAAUCCAUGUGAGCUUUGUAAGGUGAAAGAGAAGAUGGAAGGAGGGGAAAACCGAUUGUGUAAGCUUUGUACAGAGGAAGAGAAGAUGAAAUCAACUGCCGAAGACAAAACGAUAUAUGUACAGCUGAGGUCUGACCGUCGAGCUAUUUGGUACGCCAUUGAAGAGAAAGAGAAAUCACCUGACUCUGAAAUCAGGAAAAAGAAGAAGAAAACGAAAAAGAUGAAGAAGGGGGAUGAUUAUAUGAAAAUGGGUGGAAAUUGGAGAAUAACCAAGCUAGAUUUGCCCAAAUUACCCCCGGAUCUAAGAAAAAUGUUGUAAGGACCUCUGCUAUACCCUUCAAGUCUCGUAUCUAUCUGUUUGGCGGUCUUCGUUUCCCGGCAUGUUUUAUGGACCCUGGUGUCAGCGAUGUUCUCUCUUUUGAUGUUCGCCUUUGGGAGUGGCAUUCGUCCCCUCCU